rnacentral:rRNA from 1 species
GAUGAACGCUGGCGGCGUGCCUAAUACAUGCAAGUCGAGCGAACAGACGAGGAGCUUGCUCCUCUGACGUUAGCGGCGGACGGGUGAGUAACACGUGGAUAACCUACCUAUAAGACUGGGAUAACUUCGGGAAACCGGCGCUAAUACCGGAUAAUAUAUUGAACCGCAUGGUUCAAUAGUGAAAGACGGUUUUGCUGUCACUUAUAGAUGGAUCCGCGCCGCAUUAGCUAGUUGGUAAGGUAACGGCUUACCAAGGCAACGAUGCGUAGCCGACCUGAGAGGGUGAUCGGCCACACUGGAACUGAGACACGGUCCAGACUCCUACGGGAGGCAGCAGUAGGGAAUCUGCCGCAAUGGGCGAAAGCCUGACGGAGCAACGCCGCGUGAGUGAUGAAGGUCUUCGGAUCGUAAAACUCUGUUAUUAGGGAAGAACAAAUGUGUAAGUAACUAUGCACGUCUUGACGGUACCUAAUCAGAAAGCCACGGCUAACUACGUG